rnacentral:rRNA from 1 species
GACGAACGCUGGCGGCGUGCUUAACACAUGCAAGUCGAACGGAAAGGCCCUGCUUUUGUGGGGUGCUCGAGUGGCGAACGGGUGAGUAACACGUGAGUAACCUGCCCUUGACUUUGGGAUAACUUCAGGAAACUGGGGCUAAUACCGGAUAGGAGCUCCUGCUGCAUGGUGGGGGUUGGAAAGUUUCGGCGGUUGGGUAUGGACUCGCGGCUUAUCAGCUUGUUGGUGGGGUAGUGGCUUACCAAGGCUUUGACGGGUAGCCGGCCUGAGAGGGUGACCGGCCACAUUGGGACUGAGAUACGGACCAGACUCCUACGGGAGGCAGCAGUGGGGAAUAUUGCACAAUGGGCGGAAGCCUGAUGCAGAAACGCCGCGUGCGGGAUGACGGCUUUCGGGUUGUAAACCGCUUUCGCCUGUGACGAAGCGUGAGUGACGGUAAUGGGUAAAGAAGCACCGGCUAACUACGUG